UACAGAGGGUGCAAGCGUUGUUCGGAAUUAUUGGGCGUAAAGGGCGCGUAGGCGGUGCUGUAAGUCUGUAGUGAAAUCUCUGGGCUCAACUCAGAGUCUGCUAUAGAAACUGCAGUGCUGGAGUGUGGGAGAGGUGAGUGGAAUUCCCGGUGUAGCGGUGAAAUGCGUAGAGAUCGGAAAGAACACCAACGGCGAAAGCACUCUGCUGGGCCGAACACUGACACUGGAGAGACGAAAGCUAGGGGAGCGAAUGGG
rnacentral:rRNA from 1 species